GGACUGUGACGAUUCGAUUACUUUUAAGGUCUCGUUCGUCGUAAUUGGCUUUAGUCAUUGCCGACCAUUCUGAUAUAUCACCACCCAUAUUCCGAGUCC